GCUGCUCAGACAGCUCUGGGCAUUUCCCAGCUUCCGGGAUGUCCCGGUGUCCUGCAGGUCAAUUCUCUGCAGAAUCAGAGUGACAGAGGCUGCUGCAGAGACACUUAGGAUCCCCAGGAAAGGGAACAGCUGAAGAGGAGGCCGUAGCUCAGAGCCCAACUGCAGAGACAAACGCUGCUCAGAAUCCUCGGUGCCGCCUUCUUCUUUCUGGCUGUGCAUCACUUCCCAGCUCCCGAGAUGUCCCAGUACCUGCAGGUCACAGGGUGACAGAGGCUGCUGCAGAGACACCUGGAAUCUCCAGGAAUCCCCACAUUAUUUCUUGAUUAAUUGUGCAAACUAGGAAGCUCAUAGCUCUGGAAAUGAGAAAACUGGAAGUAUUUUCUGUAUUUGAAUAUCGCCUGUGUUUCUUCACAGAAAUUUCCAAGGAAAUGCUAUUUCUUACAUUGAUGAGAAUGUAUGGAAAUCAUACCGUUGGACUGAGAGACUAAUUCUCAGUGAAAAUCAUUUGACCGAAUUACAUAAAGAUUCAUUUGAAGGCCUGCUAUCCCUCCAGUAUUUAGAUUUAUCCUGCAAUAAAAUCCAAUUUAUUGAAAGACGUACCUUUGAAUCACUACCAUUUCUGCAGUAUGUAAAUCUUGGUUGCAAUUUAAUCACUGAACUGAGCUUCCGAACGUUUCAGGCGUGGCAUGGAAUGCAAUUUUUACACAAGGUCAGCACCAAAUGCCCUCAGAAGCUGAGUAGGGCCUGGACUACCUGAAAUGAACGCUCUGAUUCAAGUGAUCUCAUUUGGAUGCUAACGGAAAAGGGAACUCCAGGAGGCUCGAGGACAGGGGGACAUCUGGGGUUCAUGGGGUAUGUAGACUCAGUGAUUAAGGGGCAUGGGGGAUGGUGGUGCGUUGACCUGGGUCAGGCAAUGGAGACUGGGCCAGUUUGGGAGCAGUCACCCAACCUUGAAGUCUGUCCUGGGCUCACCAAGCUCCAUCUCUCAGCAUUCAGGCCUUCCUGCCCCUGGAGUUCUAGAAAGAUGGUGGAAAUACAGCUUCAUUCGCAUAUCAUAAUACAGUCCAGGGGGUUUUAGUACAUUCAUACAGUUGUGCAAUGAUCACAACUAUCAAAUUUCAAAACAUUUUAUCACUUUCAAAAAAGACCUUAUACCCAUUAGCAGGAAUUCCCCAUUCCACCCUCUCUCCAUCCCCUAGAAACCACUAAUACGUUCUCGGUUUCUAUGGAUUAGCCUAUUCUGGAUGUUUCACAUAAAUAAAAUCAUACACUGUGAGGGCUUCUGCCUCUAACUUCUAUUACUUAGCACAGUAUUUUUAAGAUUCAUCCAUGUUGGGCUGGUGCA